UUGAGAAAUGAAUGGUAUGUUCUUUUGUAUCAAUUAAUAACCAAGCCUGUUUACCUUGGAAAUAAGUUCUCGAGCUGAUUCAAGUAAUAUUUGUAUUCCAAGAGUUGCCAUGACGGAUGCAAACACGACGAUUCCCUGCAUAAAUCUGAAAGGGAAUCUAGUGUUGAAGCUAUAACUGCAAGUGAUCUGCUCUCAACUGAAGCAUAUACUUUCGCAACGAAGAUCACCAUGUUAGCUAUGUUGGAUGCAUAUAUUGCCAGUCUCUCACGGCAAGCAGAACUCGUCCAUGUUCAGUCGCCACGAGGGAAUCUUCGUCACCAUUCCAUCUGUUCCAGCAGCCACACCCUCCGGUGACAA